GACGAACGCUGGCGGCGUGCUUAACACAUGCCAGUCGAACGAUGAAGCCGGAGCUUGCUCUGGUGAAUUAGUGGCGAACGGGUGAGUAACACGUGAGUAACCUGCCCUUGACUCUGGGAUAACUGCUAGAAAUGGUAGCUAAUACCGGAUACGACCCUCGGAGGCAUCUUCAGGGGGUGGAAAGAAUUUCGGUCAAGGAUGGACUCGCGGCCUAUCAGCUAGUUGGUGGGGUAAUGGCUCACCAAGGCGACGACGGGUAGCCGGCCUGAGAGGGUGACCGGCCCCCCUGGGACUGAGACACGGCCCAGACUCCUACGGGAGGCAGCAGGGGGGAAUAUUGGACAAUGGGCGCAAGCAUGAUGCAGCAACGCCGCGUGAGGGAUGACGGCCUUCGGGUUGUAAACCUCUUUUAGUAGGGAAGAAGCGAAAGUGACGGUACCUGCAGAAAAAGCACCGGCUAACUACGUGCCAGCCGCCGCUGUAA
rnacentral:rRNA from 1 species